rnacentral:pre_miRNA from 1 species
UUCAUGAGAAUGCCUGGCUCCCUGUAUGCCACACGUGUGCACUAAUUCUUGCUGCUUGAAUUUGGUUACUGCGGGUGGCGUGCGAGGAGCCAAGCAUUCAGUACCC